rnacentral:misc_RNA from 1 species
UACAGAGGUCCCAAGCGUUGUUCGGAUUCACUGGGCGUAAAGGGUGCGUAGGUGGCCGGGAAAGUCUGAUGUGAAAGCUCCGGGCUCAACUCGGAAACGGCAUUGGAAACUAUUCGGCUUGAGGGUCGGAGGGGAGACUGGAAUUCUCGGUGUAGCAGUGAAAUGCGUAGAUAUCGAGAGGAACACCAGUGGCGAAGGCGAGUCUCUGGACGACCCCUGACGCUGAGGCACGAAAGCUAGGGGAGCGAACAGG